UUAAAAGACCUAGCAAUAGGUAUGCUUAGGGAAGAGCUUGCGUCACAUUAGUUAGUUGGUGGGGUAAUGGCCUACCAAGACGAUGAUGUGUAGCCGGGCUGAGAGGUCGAACGGCCACAUUGGGACUGAGACACGGCCCAAACUCCUACGGGAGGCAGCAGUAAGGAAUUUUCGGCAAUGGAGGAAACUCUGACCGAGCAAUGCCGCGUGAACGAUGAAGUAUUUUGGUACGUAAAGUUCUUUUAUUAGGGAAGAAAAGAUGGUGGAAAAACCAUUAUGACGGUACCUAAUGAAUAAGCUCCGGCUAACUAUGUGCCAGCAGCCGCGGUAAUACAUAGGGGGCAAGCGUUAUCCGGAAUUAUUGGGCGUAAAGGGUGCGUAGGCGGUUAAAUAAGUUUAUGGUCUAAGUGCACCGCUCAACGUUGUGAUGCUAUAAAAACUGUUUAGCUAGAGUUGGAUAGAGGCAAGUGGAAUUCCGUGUGUAGUGGUAAAAUGCGUAAAUAUACGGAGGAACACCAGAAGCGAAGGCGGCUUGCUGGGUCUUAACUGACGCUGAGGCACGAAAGCGUGGGGAGCAAACAGGAUUAGAUACCCUGGUAGUCCACGCCCUAAACGAUGAGUACUAAACGUUGGAUAAAACCAGUGUUGAAGUUAACACAUUAAGUACUCCGCCUGAGUAGUACGUACGCAAGUAUGAAACUUAAAGGAAUUGACGGGACUCCGCACAAGCGGUGGAUCAUGUUGUUUAAUUCGAAGGUACCCGAAAAACCUCACCAGGUCUUGACAUGCUUUUGCAAAGCUGUAGAAAUACAGUGGAGGUUAUCAGAAGCACAGGUGGUGCAUGGUUGUCGUCAGCUCGUGUCGUGAGAUGUUGGGUUAAGUCCCGCAACGAGCGCAACCCUUGUUGUUAAUUGCCAUCAUUAAGUUGGGGACUUUAGCAAGACUGCCAAUGAUAAAUUGGAGGAAGGUGGGGACGACGUCAAAUCAUCAUGCCCCUUAUGACCUGGGCUACAAACGUGAUGCAAUGGCUGUUACAAAGGGUAGCUAAAGCGUAAGCUUCUGGCGAAUCUCAAAAAAACAGUCUCAGUUCGGAUUG
rnacentral:rRNA from 1 species